rnacentral:lncRNA from 1 species
AAUUGGGAAGAUUGUGUUAGGCUUUACUUUUCUUUGUCAAGAUUAUCAUUUGUUUGGUAUUAUAGACUAGUUUAUUAUUAUUAUUAUUAUUAUUAUUAUUAUUUAUGAAAUGGGAGGUGGGGGAACCUCAAGAACAAUUAUAGACUAGCUUAUUUUAUUAAUUUCUACCUUUGAAUAUUUGCUUUUAUUUAUGUUGGUUGUCAUCCAUGGGAAUGCACUGUUGUAACCUUGAAUGUUGUCAUUCCCAUUUUCGUCCUUGAAGGAAACGCAUUCUCUUUUUUUUUUUUUUUCUUUUUUAUUUAAUUUUUUUUAAGAAGGAGAAUUCAUUCAUAAAAUCACAGACGUACAAAGAGCGACAUGAUACAGUGGCCUCGUUAAAACCUUCCUAGGACAACCACAUGGGACAAACGCCAGGGGAGGAAAGAGUAUCACACAUGUCAUAGACUAACAAGAUAGUCCAAUUUAGGUCACUUUGGACCAUCACAAUAAAAGAACAAGUCAAAAACAAAAACUAACACAAAGACCUCCGACGAGAACCGCAACUAGAGACCAACACAGUAUACCCACAUGAGAGGACCACAGAAAUCCCAAAUAGUAAACCCACAUAAGAGGACUGCAGAACAUCCAAAUUGUUAAAAGAAGCCUUCUAUGAGCAAAAUCAUAGUCCUUUGACACCCAUACAAAUUAUAAAGCAUAUCAUAGCAGAAACCAGGAGAGAACACGGAUAAGGAACAUAGAAACAAUAGUAAAAUGUCCCUUGAUAAGCACUCCACUUCAACUUAUAACCUGACAAAGAAAACAUCCUAUGACCAAGCAUAGUUCUUCGGUCAGCGUAGAGUAAAGAAGAGCACCACAUUUCAACAACUACCACCAGCGUCGCUGCUACCACCACCGUUAAAACUUUGACAAAACAUCAGCCACCAGGUAUCACAACUCUCCCAAAGAGAGAGACACAAUCCAGCGUCAAUACUGUCGUCGCCGCAGAGACAAAGACAACAACAGUCACCUGGAACACUGCAAAAAUAACCAAACAAAACAAACAGAUAAACAGACCUAGAUCUAAACAGAUCUAGACUAUCUGGGGAGGGGAAGGGGAGAAGAAGAGAGGAUAAGAGGAAGGGAAAAUAUGGGAGAAAAAGAAGGGGAGAUAAGGGGAGGAAGGGGAAGAUAGGCAGAGGGGAGGAGGUGUAGUGGCCACCUCCCCGCCUUAGCUUCCUUGCGGGUUGUUGUCAACAAGGAGAAAUGGGACCAGAGUGUGGCUAGGGUUUGAUUACUUAUCUUAUGUAUAGGAAAUGCAUUCUUCUAACCCCAUAAAAUGACACAUCAAUAUCAAGCCACAACUUGGGAGCAAACACCUUUUUGUCAAGGUCGGCUGCUGUACUUGUGGAUAAU